rnacentral:tRNA from 1 species
GUAGCUCAGUUGUAGAGCUCCUGCUUCUUAUGCAGGAAGACCUGAGCUCGAUUCCCGGC